rnacentral:pre_miRNA from 1 species
AUAAUACAUCCUCCGUCCCAUAUUUAGUGUCGCAACUUUUUCUAGAUACGCAUGUAUCUAGACGCGUUUUAGUGUGUACGUACAUGUGUAUCUAGACAAAGUUGAGACACUUCAUAUGGGACAGAGGGAGUAGGAG